CAAAAUGUAGCUUAACUAAAGCCCCUCGCUUACACCGAGCAAAUGCCUGUGCAACCCAGGCCAUCUUGAG
rnacentral:tRNA from 1 species